GGCUCAGAGCGAACGCUGCGGGCAGGCUUAACACAUGCAAGUCGAGCGGGCGUAGCAAUACGUCAGCGGCAGACGGGUGAGUAACGCGUGGGAACGUACCUUUUGGUUCGGAACAACACAGGGAAACUUGUGCUAAUACCGGAUAAGCCCUUACGGGGAAAGAUUUAUCGCCGAAAGAUCGGCCCGCGUCUGAUUAGCUAGUUGGUGAGGUAACGGCUCACCAAGGCGACGAUCAGUAGCUGGUCUGAGAGGAUGAUCAGCCACAUUGGGACUGAGACACGGCCCAAACUCCUACGGGAGGCAGCAGUGGGGAAUAUUGGACAAUGGGGGCAACCCUGAUCCAGCCAUGCCGCGUGAGUGAUGAAGGCCCUAGGGUUGUAAAGCUCUUUUGUGCGGGAAGAUAAUGACGGUACCGCAAGAAUAAGCCCCGGCUAACUUCGUGCCAGCAGCCGCGGUAAUACGAAGGGGGCUAGCGUUGCUCGGAAUCACUGGGCGUAAAGGGUGCGUAGGCGGGUCUUUAAGUCAGGGGUGAAAUCCUGGAGCUCAACUCCAGAACUGCCUUUGAUACUGAAGAUCUUGAGUCCGGGAGAGGUGAGUGGAACUGCGAGUGUAGAGGUGAAAUUCGUAGAUAUUCGCAAGAACACCAGUGGCGAAGGCGGCUCACUGGCCCGGUACUGACGCUGAGGCACGAAAGCGUGGGGAGCAAACAGGAUUAGAUACCCUGGUAGCCCACGCCGUAAACGAUGAAUGCCAGCCGUUAGUGGGUUUACUCACUAGUGGCGCAGCUAACGCUUUAAGCAUUCCGCCUGGGGAGUACGGGUCGCAGAUUAAAACUCAAAU
rnacentral:rRNA from 1 species